GACGAACGCUGGCGGCGUGCUUAACACAUGCAAGUCGAACGCUGAAGCUUGGUGCUUGCACUGGGUGGAUGAGUGGCGCACGGGUGAGUAAUACGUGAGUAACCUGCCCUUGACUCUGGGAUAAGCCUGGGAAACUGGGUCUAAUACUGGAUACGACAUGCCACUGCAUGGUGGUGUGUGGAAAGGGUUUUACUGGUUUUGGAUGGGCUCACGGCCUAUCAGCUUGUUGGUGGGGUAAUGGCCUACCAAGGCGACGACGGGUAGCCGGCCUGAGAGGGUGACCGGCCACACUGGGACUGAGACACGGCCCAGACUCCUACGGGAGGCAGCAGUGGGGAAUAUUGCACAAUGGGCGGAAGCCUGAUGCAGCGACGCCGCGUGAGGGAUGACGGCCUUCGGGUUGUAAACCUCUUUCAGCACGGAAGAAGCGAGAGUGACGGUACGUGCAGAAGAAGCGCCGGCUAACUACGUG
rnacentral:rRNA from 1 species